rnacentral:hammerhead_ribozyme from 1 species
AUCCAGCUGAUGAGUCCCAAAUAGAACGAAACACGCGUCCUGGAU